rnacentral:rRNA from 1 species
GUAGGGGGCGAGCGUUGUCCGGAUUUAUUGGGCGUAAAGAGCUCGUAGGCGGUUUGGCAAGUCGGGUGUGAAAACUCCGGGCUCAACUCGGAGACGCCACUCGAUACUGCUAUGACUCGAGUCCGGUAGGGGAGUGCGGAAUUCCUGGUGUAGCGGUGAAAUGCGCAGAUAUCAGGAGGAACACCGGUGGCGAAGGCGGCACUCUGGGCCGGUACUGACGCUGAGGAGCGAAAGCGUGGGGAGCGAACAGGAUUAGAUACCCUGGUAGUCCACGCCGUAAACGUUGGGCACUAGGUGUGGGGCUCGAUCGACGGGUUCCGUGCCGUAGCUAACGCAUUAAGUGCCCCGCCUGGGAAGUACGGCCGCAAGGCUAAA